GGUGAUACUAACCCUAACCUCUGGUCAGUAUAUCAUACAUAUUAUAAUCUAAAUGCGUGCGAACAUGCAAUAAUUUGCGCAUUUUUGCCGUACGCGACAUUAGAUAAUCACUUCCGGGCAUGCGCAGAAGACCGCUCCAACUCUGCAAUGAGCUACAUCGAUUAGAAACAACUAAAUGAGCACGGUGUUGGGAUAAAUAUCGACCCGUCCGGAAAAAACUAUCGUGAGCGCCUUUAAGAGGGUUUGGUAUCUUGUUCUGUGUUAUUGUUAUAAAAUUUAGCUGGAUAUUGCAAAGUUUAUGAAAGCGAAAGCCCUGCUGAAUAAGCAUACCUGUAGUGUGAUAAUAGAUUAUAGACACUACGACGUGGCAAAAAGAUGUUACACGAAGACAUCUAAAUGAAGUGUACAUUCCGAAAACAGAACGACCUCCGGACCAGCAUAAAAGUUCGGUAUUUGGAAGUUUCCGGAAUUCAGAAGUUUUGAAGUUUGCAGGCAAAGUGGACGUGGUGCACUAGAGUUAUGUUUUCUUAUACGUAGGAUGAAGGGGAUUAUAAUCUUUUAUAGUUGUAUAAGUGUGUAUAAAGUAAUUAAUUAAUUAAUUAAUUACAAACAUUAAGGAUAAUCAAGUAUGUAUAGUAAAUACAUAAAUAACAAAAAUAAAAAACCUGAGUAAAAUUAAAAAAUAAAUAAAUGAUCAGCC